GUGGGGAAUUUUGGACAAUGGGCGCAAGCCUGAUCCAGCCAUGCCGCGUGUGUGAAGAAGGUCUUCGGAUUGUAAAGCACUUUAAGUUGGGAGGAAGGGCAGUAAGUUAAUACCUUGCUGUUUUGACGUUACCGACAGAAUAAGCACCGGCUAACUUCGUGUCAGCAGCCGCGGUAAUACGAAGGGUGCAAGCGUUAAUCGGAAUUACUGGGCGUAAAGCGCGCGUAGGUGGUUUUGUAAGUUGGAGGUGAAAUCCCCGGGCUCAACCUGGGAACUGCCUCCAAAACUGCAUGACUAGAGUACGGUAGAGGGUAGUGGAAUUUCCUGUGUAGCGGUGAAAUGCGUAGAUAUAGGAAGGAACACCAGUGGCGAAGGCGACUACCUGGACUGAUACUGACACUGAGGUGCGAAAGCGUGGGGAGCAAACAGGAUUAGAAACCCCAGUAGUCC
rnacentral:rRNA from 1 species